AUGGAAGGCAGCAGUGGGGAAUAUUGGGCAAUGGGCGAAAGCCUGACCCAGCAACGCCGCGUGAAGGAAGAAGAUGUUCGGAUUGUAAACUUCUUUUAUGAGGGACGAAGGACGUGACGGUACCUCAUGAAUAAGCCACGGCUAACUACGUGCCAGCAGCCGCGGUAAUACGUAGGUGGCGAGCGUGAUCCGGAUUUACUGGGUGUAAAGGGCGCGUAGGCGGGGUGACAAGUCAGAUGUGAAAUCUAUGGGCUCAACCCAUAAACUGCAUUUGAAACUGCCACUCUUGAGUGCUGGAGAGGUAGACGGAAUUCCUUGUGUAGCGGUGAAAUGCGUAGAUAUAAGGAAGAACACCAGUGGCGAAGGCGGUCUACUGGACAGUAACUGACGCUGAGGCGCGAAAGCGUGGGGAGCAAACAGGAUUAGAUACCCUGGUA
rnacentral:rRNA from 1 species